rnacentral:lncRNA from 1 species
AUGCUGAGAAGGGCAGCGGGCUCAGCAUCUCAUCCUGAGGCCAGCCUGCCUGAGGAGGCCACCUCCAUCCCCUCUGGUGGGGGCCAUGGCACACAGGGGAUGAGCAUCAGCCUGAAAAGAGCAGAGCUGGGCUCCUGCAGGCAGGGCAGGCAGCAGGCAGGCACAGAAUGGGCAGCAGCCAUCACCGGCUGCAUUCCAUUGCGUCACAAUGGGCUGCUGUGUGACAUGGAACCCAGGAGCAGCAUCAGAGCGGCUGCAGGGUGGUGGGUGCCACAUCCUGGAGGAGCUUCUGGCAGACGACUGGAAGCAUCUGGAAGGGGUGAGCUCCCACAUGGCUGCUGCCAACAAGGAGCAACCUGCGCGUGUGAUGCGUACCAAGUUAAGCUGGUGGGAGGACGGCCCCGCAACGGGCUGUGCCUCCAGGAGUCCAUAUGGCACCACCAAAGGUACGGGGAUCCACAGCCAGCACACGGCACCGCUGCCAAUGGGUCCUGGCAGCGAGUGGGCCGGAACCAGCACUCUUCCUCGGGGCUGUCUCUCUUUGGGAUCAGGGAUGACGCUGACCCUUUUCACCUGCCAUCCCGCUCUGAGGCAGUCGGGAUGCUGGGAAGGGGUAGAUGGGCUGCAACCUGCUUUACCUUUGCUCUGCAGAGCGAGUGGCCGUCUGGGACUCCGUGGCCGUCUGUGUGCAACAACAACUCCUGCUGCACAAGGUGGGUCAGCACCUGUUUCCUGCCGGUCCCCUUGGAGAGCUGGGCAGUCCCCUUGGCCCUGGGCUGUGCGAUGCAGUGACUCUUCCCCUCCCCAGAAUGCAGGUUCUUCAUAGGGAUGUCCCACUCCAAAGUCCCUAUGAGGUUCUUCAUAGGGAUAUCCCCCCCUUGAAGUCCCUAUGAGGUUCUUCAUAGGGAUGUUCCCCUCUUGAAGUCCCUAUGAGGUUCUUCAUAGGGAUGUCCCCCCCUUGAAGUCCAUAUGAGGUUCUUCAUAGGGACAUCCCCCCCAAAAGUCCCUAUGAAGUCCCAGUGGGCCUCCCACAGGUGCAGCACUGCUUGUGGCAGGAGGUGCUGGAUCUCAGCGCUGCUCCCAGCUGCUGGAAUCCUGGAUUCCAUGAAGCUGCUUCUGCUGGGGCUGCCAUGCUGCAGUUUGGAGGGUGGUGGGAAGGAGAGGGGUGGGCAGUUCCUUCCCAAAUGACUCCCAGUCCCCAGGCCAGCACCUCUCAACAGUGGCAGAUGAUACAGCAGGGCCUGAAGCACGGUCCCUGUGCAGGGAAACUCCCAGGCCCUCCUUCAGCCUUAACCCUUGGGCCCUUCCGUUCUCUUCCACUCGUAGGGGAUCCGAAUUCCUACCUUCGGUUCCUUCGACAUCGUCUUCAAAGAGAUCAGGGCUAAGGAGGGCACCCUGGUUGUGCAGUGGCCGGCGUUUCGCCUGGCCAGGAACCUUCUGGACGUCCACAGUCUGACAGGUGAUGAGGAACUCCUGACAGGUAGGAGGAGAAUUCAACCCUUGCUGGCAAACAGGAUGGCUGCCUCCACUUUCAGAAGCAAACCAGCCCUUCCAUGGAGCCCAUCCAAACACAGGGCCGUCCUGGGUGGUGAAUACAAGUAGCACUCAGAAGUAGGGGCAGGAGGGCUGCUAAGUGACCAAUUCUGACCACCUGGUGUGAUUUUACAGGCCAUAAGGAAGUGGAGCCCCUCAAGUACACCGAGGUGGCCUCAACUGCAUCGGUGUCCCGGCACAGAGUGGAGACCUGCAUAUGCAGCACCACAUCCCUCAUCUCCCACUGCCUGAGGAACGG